AUCUCGGGAGCACCGAAUACUUUAUCCUUUCCGUUCCCUUUCCUUUCUUUUCCUCCUUGUUCUUCCUUUCUUUUCUUUUCUUUCCUUCAAUGAACUCACGAGCAGGGUGUUACUCUCUUUUGUUUUGAUGGGGUAGAGGAUAUGAAUCGUUCCCAAAGGAGGUCACCAAGGAAGUCGAUUAUAGACGCGAAGGGGCAAUCGGCGACCAGAAGGGAGCACGAUGGUUCGUCGCUCGACUCGCAAUCGGUGGCGGCCUCCGUCGUUCGACUAGACCGCAGAAGAAGGAUCGAAGCAGCGAGGCGGCUGUGACCUCGGACUAGAAGAAAGAGACGAAGCAGCGGGGCUGCUCGUCUUCAGUCUUGGAAGGAGUUGCGAAGGAAAACGAGAUGGCUGCGAGGCCUGAUGGCGGUCGUCAUCUCGCGAAGAAGAUGGAGCGCCUCCGAUGCCUGGAAUUUGCCUUCGGUCGUCGACCGAUCAUGAAGAAAAAGGAGCGCCUCCGUUCUUUGACCGGUUGUGUAGAAGAACUAAGGUAGAAGUAAAAACGGGUCUUCAAUUUUUGGACUGACCGAAUAGAAGAAGAUGAACGGAAGCAGCCAUGGCUAGCAGGACAGUCAUCGAUCAUGGUAGCUAGGGCGUUUGGGUGGUUCUUCUUCAGCAGAAAAAAAUGAACGGGAUCAGCAACAUGAAGAUGGAAACACGAAGAAGAAAUGGGCUACUGCCCUCUUGGUUGUUCUUGGCAGCAAUCGAAGGAGGAGAAGAAGGAAUAACAGAGGGGGAUGUGGGUUUUAGUCUUCUUAGUGAUCGGAAUUGCAGCUUCACCUCCGGUGGUUUUCUUUCAACUGUUUUUCUUUCUCGUUGCAGGUAACAAACACGAAGGAACAAGCAAUAGAGAGUAAGAGUAGUCUAUGGUGGAGUGGUGUGUUGCACGAUCUGUAGGUGGCUGAGAGGGGCUGAAGGAUUGGGACUGCCACCGCCGGCGAAGAAUCGCCUGCUCAAAUCUUCUUCACUGAUUCUAUAACGAGGGGGGUUUUUGAAAAAAAAAAAAUUUGAUUUUACAAGAUUUUAGUGGAUUUUAAUUGAUUUGUUUUACAAAGAUUAGAUUUUUAAAAGAUAUUUGAUGUAAAAUCAAAUGGUGUUUUUUAUUUGUUUAUUUAUUUUAUGAUGCAAUUUCUGAUUGCCUUGGUCGGUGUGAUUUAAAAAAUGUGGACGGAAUUCGAUUCGAUAUAUCAAAUUCCGCAAAUUAGAGUUGACUAUUGACUUGGAGUUUUUUUUUUUUGUCUUUCUGAUUCUGGGUGUUCCGUUGACUAUUGACUUGGAGCUUUUUUUUUUUUGUCUUUCUGGUGUUCCCCUAUGGUAGAGUGAUGUGUUGCAUGAUCUGUAGGUGGUUGAGAGUAGGUGGCUGAGAGGGGCUGAAAGAUUGGGAUCAAUUGUCAACUUGGGGGGGGGGGGGGGGGGGGGGGGGUUGGAUUUAAAUGGAUUUGUUGUGGGAAGAUUAGAUGUUUAAGAGAUAUUUGAUGUAAAACCAAAUGGUGUAUUUUAUUUGUUUAUUUUCUUUAUGAUGUAAUUUUUGAUUCACAGUUCUCGUGCCAUCGAUCCCGCCUCCAUAA